GACGGAGGAUGCAAGUGUUAUCCGGAAUCACUGGGCGUAAAGCGUCUGUAGGUGGUUUAAAAAGUCCACUGUUAAAGGUUGAAGCUUAACUUCAAAAAUGCCGUGGAAACUUUUAAACUUGAGUAUGAUAGGGGUAGAGGGAAUUUCCAGUGGAGCGGUGAAAUGCGUAGAUAUUGGAAAGACCACCGAUGGCGAAGGCACUCUACUGGGCCAUACUGACACUGAGAGACGAAGCUAGGGGAGCAAAUGGG
rnacentral:rRNA from 1 species